AGGAUAAACGCUGGCGGCGUGCAUGAGACAUGCAAGUCGAACGGACGAUCAGGGCUUGCUCUGAUCGUUAGUGGCGGACGGCUGAGUAACGCGUAGGUGACCUGCCCGAAGUGGGGGAUAACUGCCCGAAAGGGUGGCUAAUACCGCAUGUGGUGGUUCGUUCAAUCGACCCAUCAAAGCAGCAAUGCGCUUCGGGAGGGGCCUGCGUCCGAUUAGCCCGUUGGUGGGUAACGGCUCACCAAGGCGACGAUCGGUAGGUGGUCUGAGAGGACGAUCACCCAGACUGGGACUGAGACACGGCCCAGGACUCCUACGGGAGGCAGCAGUCGGGAAUUUGCGCAAUGGGCGAAAGCCUGACGCAGCAACGCCGCGUCGAGGGAUGGAAGGCCGUUACGGGUUCGUUAAACCUCUUUUUCGAGGACGAUAAUGACGGUACCUGACGAAUAAGUCACGCUAAACUACGUA
rnacentral:rRNA from 1 species